UCAGAGGCUGCUAAGAGAUGCAGGAGAAUGCAGGAGGGACAUACAAAGAAAAGGAGCCACAGACAGAGUUAAGUGUGGUACAUGUUAGACAAGAAACUGGCUACGGAAAGAACUUUGUGAUCUGGAGCUGAAGUCACAUGCAGGAAAAUAACAGGAGAUCCCAAAUUUCUUCAGAGUAAAAUUGUGAUACCAGCUAGGCCUAUGGUCAUCUUACAUCAAUCUCAGUAGUAAAAUACUUAGUAUUUGGAAUCAUAUGCAUUAUCUACCACAUCUUUCUAAAAGAGUGCUACAAAUCCACAGAACAGAGGGUAAUAUGGAAAGGUGCCCUUCAAAAAAAAAAAAAAACCAGGCCUAGAGCAGCUCAAUCCUGAAGUCUCAUUUCUGCCUGAAUAAAAUUCUAAGUUCAUGGAACUCAGAAAACAUAAAAGAAAUAUAAAGGCUUGUUCUAUAUGUGAUAUGGAAAUAACAGAAUGUGGAGGAGUUUAAAUAUGUGAAGAAAUGUAUACAUAUAUAUAUAAAAAGUAAGAAAUUAUAAUAUGGCACACAUUACUGACCUGAAUUAAUGAAGAGAAUGAAAAUGUCACCAGAAAGGCAUACAAGAAAAGAACAAGCUGACUAUGCUAAAGCACUUCUGGAGCUGAGCCAUCUAACAAACACGGGAAACAUUCUGGGAGAGAAAACGCUCUACCAAGCAUACUGAGACAAAGGGCCUGUUUAUAAGAUGGGGAUUUUUCACAGUAUUUUAAGUUUCACUAGACAAUAGAUGGGUGCUUUCCUGAAUGAGGAUGCCUUCCGUCUUUUCUAUCACUCCACCAUCUUUUCCUCAUGACUAAACUGAGGUGAUAAGAUGAAACACAUCAAACAGAGGCUUGUUCAUCAUCUCUUUUGUUUAAACGUGGGUAUGUCACGCAUGCCAGUUUUUCCAAGAUUAAAAUUAAGAUAUUAAAAAAGACAAAUGCAAAGACAAGCCAAGAGCAAGGACUCCAAAUAUAUAUACAUAUGCAUCUAUAUAAAAAAAAUAUAAUAUAUUAAAAUAUAUAUAUGCUACAUUUGUUCUGAAGCAGACUAGGGAGAAGGCCAUUUAGAAUCAACAUGAACACAUUCCUACAAACCACUGUAGCCAUCGUUAAACGUUUACUUGGUUUUGCCUGUGUGCAGUGUUACUCAAUUGGCCAUUUCCAUUUCAUUUAAUAACAUAAAUGUGAUGAAAUGCUACAGAACACAGUGUUGUCAGUUCAUAACAGAUUUUAGUCAUAUAUGUAUUGCCCAGGUUAGAAAAACCUGUAAAUGUAAGAAUCUUAAAUGAAAAAAGAAAUGACUGUAGUAUAUGAAUCCCACAGGCUGAAGAACCAGAAGGAAAUAAAACUUACAAGUCUCACUGUUUUGGGAGGCUGCUGGGAGCCAAGACCGGACUAAGUAGACUGAGGAACAGAGGUUUCCCUACAGCAGAGUCAACAGCUUCAAAACCAAACCACGUUAACAUUUUAUCAAAGUGAUCUAACAUUAAAAUGGAAGACUUAAAAUAAUUUUCUUAGACUAGAGUAAAACAAAUGUAAGUAA